CACAUUUGGCCGUGAGACUUCGCGGCGUGAAACUGAUAAGAGAAAGGAAGGCCCAAGAAUCUGGCCCUUGCAGGACCUUCGAAACUGGGUCGAGCUCGAGGUCUGUUCCGGAAUUUACCCCCUUCCGGACUUCUUUUGAUUAUCCGGGCUUGUUCACCGAUGAAGGGGUGCGAGCGAAGGCUGCCCAGCUGCUUUUGACCAAGCCUGGGGAUUG
rnacentral:lncRNA from 1 species